rnacentral:rRNA from 1 species
GACGAACGCUGGCGGCGUGCUUAACACAUGCCAGUCGAACGGAAAGGCCCUGCUUUUGUGGGGUGCUCGAGUGGCGAACGGGUGAGUAACACGUGAGUAACCUGCCCUUGACUUUGGGAUAACUUCAGGAAACUGGGGCUAAUACCGGAUAGGAGCUCCUGCUGCAUGGUGGGGGUUGGAAAGUUUCGGCGGUUGGGGAUGGACUCGCGGCUUAUCAGCUUGUUGGUGGGGUAGUGGCUUACCAAGGCUUUGACGGGUAGCCGGCCUGAGAGGGUGACCGGCAACGUGGGGCCUGGUAGCGGGCCCGGCCUCCGCGGGGGGGAAGAAGGGGGGAAUGUGGCCCAUGGGGCGGAGGCUGGAUGCCGCACCGCGGGGGGGGGAAGGGCGGCUUGCGGUUUUAAAACCGUUUUCGCCUGUGAGGAAGGGGGAGGGGGGGUAGGGGAAAAAGAAGCGCCGGCUAACUCCGGC